CAGGUGAGUUUGGUAAUCGCUUUUCCAAUAGGAGAAGAGGAAAGUCCGAACUUCGCAGAGCAGCGGGCCGGUUAACGGCCGGGCGUCCGUUUAUUCGGAUGACGACAAGUGCAACAGAAAGCAAACCAGCCCGUAAGGGUGAUGGGUGAAACGGUGAGGUAAGAGCUCACAGGCAUUCCUGGUAACAGGAUUGACCGGGUAAACUCCCCGCGAAGCAAGACCAAAUAGGGAAACGUUUAUGGGCUGCUCGUCCAGUUUCCGGGUAGGUCGCACGAGCCGUUUGGCAACAAACGGCCUAGAUGAAUGAUUACCGUCCGGCAGUAGCCGGAUACAGAAUUCGGCUUAUGAGCUUGCCGGGUUU
rnacentral:RNase_P_RNA from 1 species